rnacentral:rRNA from 1 species
GACGAACGCUGGCGGCGUGCUUAACACAUGCAAGUCGAACGGAAAGGCCCUGCUUUUGUGGGGUGCUCGAGUGGCGAACGGGUGAGUAACACGUGAGUAACCUGCCCUUGACUUUGGGAUAACUUCAGGAAACUGGGGCUAAUACCGGAUCGGAGCUCCUGCUGCAUGGUGGGGGUUGGAAAGUUUCGGCGGGUGGGGAUGGACUCGCGGCUUAUCAGCUUGUUGGUGGGGUAGUGGCUUACCAAGGCUUUGACGGAUAGCCGGCCUGAGAGGGUGACCGGCCACAUUGGGACUGAGAUACGGACCAGACUCCUACGGGAGGCAGCAGUGGGGAAUAUUGCACAGUGGGCGGGAGCCUGAUGCGACGACGCCGCGUGCGGAAAGACGGCCUUCGGGUUGUAAACCGCUUUCGCCUGUGACGAAGCGUGAGUGACGGUAAUGGGUAAAGAAGCACCGGCUAACUACGUG